UACAGAGGUCCCGAGCGUUGUUCGGAUUCACUGGGCGUAAAGGGUGCGUAGGUGGUGAGGUAAGUCGGAUGUGAAAUCUCCGGGCUCAACCCGGAAAUGGCAUUGGAAACUACCUUGCUGGAGGAUUUGAGGGGGGAUUGGAAUACUUGGUGUAGCAGUGAAAUGCGUAGAUAUCAAGUGGAACACCAGUGGCGAAGGCGAAUCCCUGGAAAAUACCUGAACACUCGAGGCACGAAAGCUAGGGGAGCAAACAGG
rnacentral:rRNA from 1 species